CAGUCGCCACGGUAAUACGAAGGGGGCUAGCGUUGCUCGGAAUGACUGGGCGUAAAGGGCGCGUAGGCGGCGGCCAAAGUCAGGCGUGAAAUUCCCGGGCUCAACCUGGGGGCUGCGUUUGAUACUUGGUUGCUUGAGUGGGGAAGAGGGUCGUGGAAUUCCCAGUGUAGAGGUGAAAUUCGUAGAUAUUGGGAAGAACACCGGUGGCGAGGGCGGCGACCUGGUCCUUUACUGACGCUGAGGCGCGAAAGCGUGGGGAGCAAACAGGAUUAGACCCCAGUAGUCCCUGUCUCUUAUACAC
rnacentral:rRNA from 1 species